rnacentral:rRNA from 1 species
CGCCUAAGGAUGGGUCUGCGGCCUAUCAGGUAGUAGUGGGUGUAGCGUACCUACUAGCCUACGACGGGUACGGGUUGUGAGAGCAAGAGCCCGGAGAUGGAUUCUGAGACACGAAUCCAGGCCCUACGGGGUGCAGCAGGCGCGAAAACUUUACAAUGCUGGCAACAGCGAUAAGGGAACCUCGAGUGCCAGGUUACAAAUCUGGCUGUCGAGAUGCCUAAAAAGCAUUUCAUAGCAAGGGCCGGGCAAGACCGGUGCCAGCCGCCGCGGUAACACCGGCGGCUCGAGUGGUAACCGUUAUUAUUGGGUCUAAAGGGUCUGUAGCCGGCCGGAUAAGUCUCUUGAGAAAUCUGGCAGCUUAACUGUCAGGCUUUCAGGAGAUACUGUCUGGCUCGAGGCCGGGAGAGGUGAGAGGUACUUCAGGGGUAGGGGUGAAAUCUUGUAAUCCUUGAAGGACCACCAGUGGCGAAGGCGUCUCACCAGAACGGACCUGACGGCAAGGGACGAAAGCUAGGGGCACGAACCGGAUUAGAUACCCGGGUAGUCCUAGCCGUAAACGAUACUCGCUAGGUGUCGGCCACGGUGUGACCGUUGUCGGUGCCGUAGGGAAGCCGUGAAGCGAGCCACCUGGGAAGUACGGCCGCAAGGCUGAAACUUAA